rnacentral:rRNA from 1 species
CCUACGGGGGCAGCAGUGAGGAAUAUUGGUCAAUGGACGAGAGUCUGAACCAGCCAAGUAGCGUGAAGGAUGACUGCCCUAUGGGUUGUAAACUUCUUUUAUAAAGGAAUAAAACGAGGCACGUGUGCCUUUUUGCAUGUACUUUAUGAAUAAGGAUCGGCUAACUCCGUGCCAGCAGCCGCGGUAAUACGGAGGAUCCGAGCGUUAUCCGGAUUUAUUGGGGUUAAAGGGAGCGUAGAUGGGUUGUUAAGUCAGUUGUGAAAGUUUGCGGCUCAACCGUAAAAUUGCAAUUGAUACUGGCAGUCUUGAGUACAGUUGAGGUACGCGGAAUUCGUGGUGUAGCGGUGAAAUGCUUAGAUAUCACGAAGAACCCCGAUUGCGAAGGCAGCUUACUAAACUGUGACUGACAUUGAUGCUCGAAAGUGUGGGUAUCAAACAGGAUUAGAUACCCGUGUAGUC